rnacentral:rRNA from 1 species
CCUACGGGAGGCUGCAGUGAGGAAUAUUGGUCAAUGGGCGCGAGCCUGAACCAGCCAAGUCGCGUGAAGGAAGACGGCCCUACGGAUUGUAAACCUCUUUUGUAAAGGAGCAAAGUACGGCACGUGUGCCGUUCCGUAUGUACCCCAAGAAUAAGGAUCGGCUAACUCCGUGCCAGCAGCCGCGGUAAUACGGAGGAGCCGAGCGUUAUCCGGAUUUAUUGGGUUUAAAGGGUUCGUAGUAGGGAUGUUAAGUCAAGUGGGAAAGUUUGGGGCUCAACCGUAUAAUUGCCAUUGAUACUGGCAGUCUUGAGUGCAGGUGAGGUAUGCGGAAUUCGUGGUGUAGCGGUGAAAUGCUUAGAUAUCACGAAGAACUCCGAUUGCGAAGGCAGCUUACUAGACUGCCACUGACAUUGAUGCUCGAAAGUGUGGGGAUCAAACAGGAUUAGAUACCCGGGUAGUC